ensembl:lncRNA
GCCAGCAACUUCCCUCCCCUCGACUUGGGAGGCCCCGGGGAGAAAGGCUGAAAGCAGAGUCAGGGCGGGGUUGGGGUGGGGGGACGACUUCAAGGCCCCCUUCCCUGUGCAUCUGUCAAAUGAAGACCAGGAGCCGCUCGCCCGAUCUGUGCCUCAGUCUCCCCAGUCGUGUGAAAGAGCCUGUGUUUGGGUUGGGAGGCUUCGCUGGAGACCUGGUCCCUCCAUGAAGACCAAGUGGGGGUCUCAGAGCCACCAUCCCCCCACCAGAGGCUUCCAGGGCUCUGGAAGGGGCAGGGAAGCAUGGGGACCCGCCCCCCAGGAUCCAGCCUUGGCUCCUGGGCUUCUCCGGUGAGCGUCUUUUGGACACUCACCUCAUACCUCGCCCCUCAUCCAAAUGCUGCCCCCUCCAUUAGCUCCUCAGAGGCCAAGAGGAGGGCUUGUAAUUCUCCUCAGCAGCCUUCUGCAGGUGAAGCAGUCUCCCAGAGAGACCAGGUGACUUCCCACUCAAGGCGGGUGAGGACUCAAAUCCAGCACUGGUCAUGCCGAGAGCGCCUGGGGAAGCCAGGACCCAGUGACCUAGGGCUGGGGGUCAGUGCUCUGGGGAGGGCUGAAGAUCUGUCAAAUACAGGCAAGGGGCAGCUACACCCAUGCAGACCCCUCAAGAGCACUCACACCUCCGUGAGAGUUGUCUGAGGCCUCUCCCAGGUGGCUCUGGGGAGUGAGGGGUGCUGUGGGGUGCUGGCUGCCAAGGCCAGUUCUAAGCAAUUCAGACAAGAAAGAGCAGGAGUCCCAGCCCACCCUGCAGUCCUACUGCUGCCCUGCUGGAGGCCACGCUUGUCCCCCAGGGAGUCCUCAGUUUUAACAUCUGUAAAAUGGACGGGCUGGAAUAAGACACAGUCCGGAGGCCAUCCUGGCCCUGUGGGGCAUUUCAGUCAUCACCAUGAAGGGAGGGAGUCAGCUACUAGCCUGCAUCCAGGCAGGGACGUGGGCGGGACAGUCCAUGAUGAAGCACGGUCUUGUCCAAAUGCCAGCGGUGCCCCACGGAGAAAAAACAGCGAAGGACAACACAGCGCGGUUUGCCAGGCACCAGGCAGGCACUCUGCCUACAUCGGCUCAGCCAGGUCCAAAACAGCCAGGAAAGCUCAGCUCUGGGACAGCUGGAAGGGUCCCUCCCCAGGUGAACUCACCAGGACUGAGCAGGUGCGCCUGCCCACCCCCAGGCCUCAGCAAGCAGGACUCCAGGCUUUUCUCCUGCCUAACCUCAGUCCUUCGUCUCCAGCCAGGGCCUGGGCCAGAAAGAACCACAAACCACAAACCGACAACCAGAAAAGCUGCUGCGAUUUACUAAACUUCAAUUUAGUUUUCACCGAGCUGCUUUUGCUUCUCCCAAAGCAAAAGAAGAAACAGACUUCUCUCAAACAUGAAAUAAAGGACAGCGACACAGGGAAGGACCCCGCACUUGGCUCCCAGGGGUGGGGAGCAUCUUCUUCCCUCCCCGCUCCUCCCCACCUCCCCACCCUCUCAGGCUUCCGGCUCCUCUGCAGGCCAGCAGACCAGCCCCUAGGGUAGAGCCAGGAGAGCCAGGCCCAGAGAGGGUCCCGCAGGCUCCCCUGGGCCCCCAGCGCCCCCUCCCCACCUUCCUGAGCCUCCGGACCUGCGGUGGCCCCUCCCUCUCUGCUUGCCCCCAUUCCCUCCAGCACCUGCCUGGGCUGGAUUCACUUUGACCUCUGCAGUGCCUGGCCCAGCCCAGGUGCUUGGAGAACUCGGGGGACUGUGAAUAGAUACGUAGGAUCGGGAUUGAACCUCCUGAGCUGUUUAGAUGCCUUGUGGCCCACAUCUCACGUUUCCACGGAAGGAGGAGCUGGGGCUCCACUCCCCACAGGGAACCAUGAGAGAGAACCUGAGGCCUCCCCCCUCCUUCCUCCACCGCCCACAGCCCCACCUGCGUGGGAGUCCGGGCCGAAAUCACUGCACUGCAGGCCACUUCUGAGGCCCCCCUCUCUCCUGUCCCCCUGGGGAGCUGCAAUGGCUGGUCAGAGGUGAGGUUUGCUAGACAGUCUCCUCUCAAAUGGGCAAGGCCUAGACCCUGGGAGCAGGUCAUCAGAAGUCCGUUCUACCCCAGCAGCACCAGCAACAAACCUCCACCUGUUUGAGUCCCUGGGAGAGGGGAUGCUCUGCUAGCUUCCUCAAACCCCAGCAGCACAGCCCUCUCCCCACAUGGACCACAUCUGGGGGAACCACGUCCUCCUCACCUUGAUGUCUCUGCGCCCCAGCCUGCACCACACCUCGUGUCCCCCACCCGGGUGUGGGGACGUGAACGGAUGAUCCCUGGGCCCUUCCCACCCUCCUCUCCCAGGUAAUCUAUUUCUAGAUGAAUAGAAAGGGCAGCCCUGCUCGCAGGCACUCGCCCAGGCUGAGCCAUGUUCUAAGAGCAAGAAGGAGGCCACAGUGGGGGCGGGGGCCCUUUUCCUCCACGGUUAAUGCCCUAAAGCCUCUCUCUGUACGUGGUUAUCUGACACUGGUGAGCCUGGGAGCACGUCUGGGGCCACAUGGACAGCAUCACCUUCAUCUCUGCAUCCCCAGGGCCUGGCUCCAGGCUCAGAACACAGGCAAUUCUCCAUCAACAACCAAAGGCAGGUCCCUGCCCCGAGCCAGCGUAGCGCCACCCUCACCAGUGGGGACCCAGGGCAGGGGGCGGGGGGCAGCAGCAGCAUUCCAGGUCCACAGAGUGGAACUCAGACCUUGCACUGAAUUCUUGCAACUCGCUUAUAUGAUCAGGUGUGAAACAUAAUCCCUGACCCUUCAGUUAUGCAACAUGCCAUCCGAGUGUGUACCAAGUGUGUACUGAGCUCCCGCUGUGUGCCAGACUCUGCUCUUAGCACUGGGGAAAUGCUGGGAGUGAAAACAGAUACAGACACCUGCCCUGUUAAGCCCACAUCCAGUGGUGGUGCAGGGGAGACAACAGAUACAUCUACACACAGAUGGGGAUCCAGGGCUUAUGAAGAGACACAAGGCAGGUGAGAAGAAAGGAAAUGGCCCGGCAGGGGCUUUGUGAAGGAAACGAUAGUCAGGGAAGGCUUCUCAGAGGAGGUGGCAUUUGAACAGAGACUAAAAACAGGAAGGGCAUGAAUCAUGUAUCUGAGAGAAAAGCAUCCCAGGUAGAGUCCAGCAAGUGCAAAGGCCCUGAGGUGAGCAUACAAUUAGCAAUCAUUGUUCAAGGAACAGCAAGGAGGUCAGGAUGACUGGACAGCAGUAGGAAGGCGGAGAAGCAGGAGAGGAGGUCGGGGGCGGGGGGGGGGGGCUCCAAGCACAAAGCCAAGCAAGGCCUGGUGGGCCACAGUAUGGAUAGAGAAAGCAGGGCCCACUUUGAGCACAGCAGCCAGGGACUCAGGACAAGAGAAACCACAGGCUCCAUGCCAGCCACCCACUCAGGCCACAGCAGUUCACAUCAGUUGGAGGGCUAAGCAAGCAUAUCUCAUUGGCACUGGGGCCCACCAGUUCAGCCCAGAAAAUGCCCAGCCUUUUUAAAAAAAUUUUUUUGGCCAUGCUGCACAGCAUGUGGGAUCUUAGUUUCCUGACCAGGAAGCAAACCUGCACCUCCUGCUUUAAAAAUGCGGAGUCUUAACCACUGGACCACCAGGGAAGGCCCCAGAAAAUGCCCAGCCUUGACUGUCCCCCUCUCCCAGGGCAGAGGUGCUAGCCACCAGCUCCUGCUUGCUCGGUGUCUCCUACUGCAGCGGCCCCCACCUCCAUGCAAACCCUCAGACCUCUCCUUCCCACCUCAACCCCACCCCACCUCCUCUUGCCAGAACCACCCAGCUUUCUAGCCCAGCGCCCAAAGGGGCAAGUGUCUUUGUUUGCAGCUGUUGCUAUUGAGGGCUUCCCACUAAUGC